UUUGUGGCAGGCAGCCGCGGUAAUUCCAGCUCCAAUAGCGUAUAUUAAAGUUGUUGCCGUUAAAAAGCUGGUAGUCGAACUUCGGCGCCUGAUGGCCGGUCCGCCUUCUUGGUGUGUACUUGCUCAUCGGGCGCUUACCUCCUGGUGAACUCUGAUGUCCUUUACUGGGUGUCAGAGCAAACCAGGACGUUUACUUUGAAAAAAUUAGAGUGUUCAAAGCAGGCCUACGCCCGAAUACAUUAGCAUGGAAUAAUAGAAUAGGACGCGCGUUCCCAUUUUGUUGGUUUCUGAGAUCGCCGUAAUGAUUAAUAGGGAUAGUUGGGGGCAUUUGUAUUCCGUCGUCAGAGGUGAAAUUCUUGGAUUGCCGGAAGACAAACUACUGCGAAAGCAUUUGCCAAGGAUGUUUUCAUUGAUCAAGAACGAAGGAAGGGGGAUCGAAAACGAUCAGAUACCGUUGUAGUCUCUUCUGUAAACUAUGCCAAUUGGGGAUUAGCACAGGAUUUUCAAUGACUGUGUUAGCACCCGAAGAGAAAUCUUUAAAUGAGGUUCGGGGGGGAGUAUGGUCGCAAGGCUGAAACUUAAAGGAAUUGACGGAAGGGCACCACCAGGUGUGGAGCCUGCGGCUUAAUUUGACUCAACACGGGGAAACUCACCAGGUCCAGACACAAUAAGGAUUGGACAGAUUGAUCGCUUCUUUCUGACCUUGUGCUUGGCCAUGCAUGCCCGCUCAUAGUGGCGGCAGUGAUUUUGUCCGGAUCAAUUCCGAAAACCAAACCAUACCUUACCUAGCUAACUAGACCCCUCUACUUUGGUUGGCUGCGUGUUUUCCUAAAGGGAACUAUCACCGUUUAAGUUAAUGCAAAAUCUGACCCAAUAAUACGUUUGUGAAUGCCCAAGGUCCAAUUUCGUUUCAAGCCGUAAGGACCUUGUCCCUUUUGAAGAGUGUGUAACUCUGAGCUGGCGGGUAAUCAUCGGUAUAACUUGUUUUCUGUGGUAAAAUUGCUAAUCCGCCUCCCGUUCCGACAAAUCCGAGCGG
rnacentral:rRNA from 1 species